rnacentral:rRNA from 1 species
UGGGGAAUUUUGCGCAAUGGGCGAAAGCCUGACGCAGCGACACCGCGUGAGCGAAGAAGCCCUUUGGGGUGUAAAGCUCUGUCGGCUGGGACGAAAAAAAUGACGGUACCAGCAAAGGAAGCAUCGGCUAACUACGUGCCAGCAGCCGCGGUAAGACGUAGGAUGCGAGCAUUGUCCGGAUUUAUUGGGCGUAAAGAGUUCGUAGGUGGUUUGUUAAGUCUGAUGUUAAAUACCAGGGCCCAACCCUGGACCUGCAUUGGAUACUGGCAGACUUGAGUGCAGUAGAGGCAAGUGGAAUUCCCAGUGUAGCGGUGAAAUGCGUAGAUAUUGGGAAGAACACCAGUGGCGUAAGCGACUUGCUGGGCUGCAACUGACACUGAGGAACGAAAGCCAGGGGAGCAAAUGGGAUUAGAUACCCGUGUAGUCC